AUUGAACGCUGGCGGCAUGCCUUACACAUGCAAGUCGAACGGCAGCACGGGAGCAAUCCUGGUGGCGAGUGGCGAACGGGUGAGUAAUGUAUCGGAACGUGCCCAGUCGUGGGGGAUAACGUAGCGAAAGCUACGCUAAUACCGCACACGAUCUAUGGAUGAAAGCGGGGGACCGUAAGGCCUCGCGCGAUUGGAGCGGCCGAUAUCAGAUUAGGUAGUUGGUGGGGUAAAGGCCUACCAAGCCGACGAUCUGCAGCUGGUCUGAGAGGACGACCAGCCACACUGGGACUGAGACACGGCCCAGACUCCUACGGGAGGCAGCAGUGGGGAAUUUUGGACAAUGGGCGCAAGCCUGAUCCAGCAAUGCCGCGUGCAGGAUGAAGGCCUUCGGGUUGUAGACUGCUUUUGUACGGAGCGAAAAGGCUCUCUCUAAUACAGGGGGCUCAUGACGGUACCGUAAGAAUAAGCACCGGCUAACUACGUGCCAGCCGCCGCGGUAA
rnacentral:rRNA from 1 species